CCAAGAGCAUUUCAUUAACCUAUAAAGCUCAUAACUUUCAUCACCACAUUAUCCCUGCUCACCACCAAAAAAGUAUUUUUAAAAAAGACCUAAAAGAAUCUGCCUGCAAUACAAGAGAUCUGGGUCCAAUUCCUGGGUUGGGAAGAUCCCCUGGAGAAGAGGAUAUCCCCAAUAUUCUGGCCUAGAGAAUUCCGUGGACUCUACAGUCCAUGGGAUCGCAAACAGUAGGACAUGACUGAGUGACUUUCACUUCAAUUCAAAACUAAAAACAAUUUGCUUGACAUGAAUACAGAAUGGACACACAACCUCUAGAAAGAUCUUCCAAUCGUUUUAAUCUUUUUAUUGAUCAGAUGCCUAUUAAGCUUUAUAACAUGUCAGUAAGUUUUAAGAAUUUCAGACAGAAAAGUGAUUGCAUGAACAUCACUCCCCUCUUAAAGAGGGUGAAGCGAAUUAACAAUAAACCAGAUUAACAAUUCUAAACUCCUCUUACAUAGAAAUUCGGGAAUACAUGCUAUAUCCAGGACUUGGUUUAUUCAACCAUCGAAGUCAAUAUGAUCUUUUAAUCUUUAAAUGUUAAUUCAUUCAUUCAACAAAUGUCUACUAAGAAUGACUUCUCUGAGCCCCCACCCUCCACACACUCAUCAUUUCCUUAAGUACUAUCAGUGAAACUUCUGAUUUAAUAGAGAAGACAAAUAAAUAAGCACUUCAAUUUCUUCUGAUGAGUAUUUUCAAAGAAUCUAAUAUUUUUAUUAAUAUUUAUGUUUAGUUCCUUAUUUUUAUUAAUAUUUAUUCUAAAAAUUAAAAUAUUCCAAAGAAGCUACUUGUGGGUGACGGAUAUUUUAAUAUUUGAACAUUUAAGUUUAGAACCUCAAUUCAGCUAUUAACUAUAUCAUCUGAAGGAUAAAAGCAAAACACAUAGUAAAUAUCCAAGAAUUAUUUCUUUCCUUUUUCCCUUGUGAAAGUCAGGGAUGAAAAUACAAAAGAAUCCAAAGCACUGCUCAGAUCAUUUAUAUACCUACAAAGUGAGUUUCACAAAGCACCACAAAAACAAAUGUAUUCUUUUCUCACCGCUUCCCUUGCAUUUCUUGCCUAUAGAGCUUAUUCUUCUCUAUCCCUUCGGAUGUAAUUGAAAGCCAGUGCCUUNNNNNNNNNNNNNNNNNNNNNNAAAAACUGCUUCCUUCACUUUAGAACCAAAAGACAAAACAAUAACAACAAUCCACUAAACUCACACAGAAUUAGGUUCU
rnacentral:lncRNA from 1 species